GAAUCUCAGUGCCUUCCGAACCCUCUUCGGCGUAAAAGAAGUCCAGAAGAAGGGACCAUUCCUGAGAAGAUCCCUCACCGAAAUGAUGUCUUCGGGGAACGGAGCAAAAGGGUUGAUGAAGGGACGAUCAUUCGGCAACCUCCGGAACAGUGGAAUGCAACUCUCUUCGACGGAUGCAGCGUCUAUACGAACAAAGAAAAAGAACUUCUUCCACGAGUUGAAGUUCGAAA
rnacentral:lncRNA from 1 species